UAGGGAAUAUUGCACAAUGGGCGAAAGCCUGAUGCAGCAACGCCGCGUGCGCGAAGAAGGUCUUCGGAUCGUAAAGCGCUUUUCUGGGAGAUGAGAAAGGACAGUAUCCCAGGAAUAAGUCUCGGCUAGCUACGUGCCAGCAGCCGCGGUAACACGUAGGAGGCGAGCGUUAUCCAGAUUCACUGGGCGUAAAGCGCGUGCAGGCGGUUCGGUAGGUUGGGCGUGAAAUCUCCUGGCUCAACUAGGAGAGGUCGUUCAAUACUACCGGACUUGAGAGUGGUAGAGGAAGAUGGAAUUCCCGGUGUAGUGGUGAAAUGCGUAGCUAUCGGGAGGAACACCAGUGGCGAAGGCGAUCUUCUGGACCAUUUCUGACGCUCAGACGCGACAGCUAGGGUAGCAAACG
rnacentral:rRNA from 1 species